GACGAACGCUGGCGGCGUGCUUAACACAUGCAAGUCGAACGGAAAGGCCCUGCUUUUGUGGGGUGCUCGAGUGGCGAACGGGUGAGUAACACGUGAGUAACCUGCCCUUGACUUUGGGAUAACUUCAGGAAACUGGGGCUAAUACCGGGUAGGAGCUCCUGCUGCAUGGGGGGGGUUGGAAAGUUUCGGCGGUUGGGGAUGGACUCGCGGCUUAUCAGCUUGUUGGGGGGGUAGUGGCUUACCAAGGCUUUGACGGGUAGCCGGCCUGAGAGGGUGACCGGCCACAUUGGGACUGAGAUACGGCCCAGACUCCUACGGGAGGCAGCAGUGGGGAAUAUUGCACAAUGGGCGGAAGCCUGAUGCAGCAACGCCGCGUGCGGGAUGACGGCCUUCGGGUUGUAAACCGCUUUCGCCUGUGACGAAGCGUGAGUGACGGUAAUGGGUAAAGAAGCACCGGCUAACUACGUG
rnacentral:rRNA from 1 species